rnacentral:rRNA from 1 species
AAUAGAUACCCAGGUAGUCCACGCCGUAAACGAUGGAUACUAGCUGUUCGGAGCAAUCUGAGUGGCUAAGCGAAAGUGAUAAGUAUCCCACCUGGGGAGUACGUUCGCAAGAAUGAAACUCAAAGGAAUUGACGGGGGCCCGCACAAGCGGUGGAGCAUGUGGUUUAAUUCGAUGAUACGCGAGGAACCUUACCAAGGCUUAAAUGUAGAUUGACCGGACUGGAAACAGUUUUUUCGCAAGACAAUUUACAAGGUGCUGCAUGGUUGUCGUCAGCUCGUGCCGUGAGGUGUCAGGUUAAGUCCUAUAACGAGCGCAACCCCUGUCGUUAGUUGCCAGCGAGUCAUGUCGGGAACUCUAACGAGACUGCCAGUGUAAACUGUGAGGAAGGUGGGGAUGACGUCAAAUCAUCACGGCCCUUACGCCUUGGGCUACACACGUGCUACAAUGGCCGGUACAGAGAGCAGCCACUGGGCGACCAGGAGCGAAUCUAUAAAACCCGGUCACAGUUCGGAUCGGAGUCUGCAACUCG